GGCCUUCAGUUCUGUAGAGCAUCGGUCUACGGAACCGAAGGUUACUGGUUCGAGCCCAGUGGGGU
rnacentral:tRNA from 1 species